rnacentral:lncRNA from 1 species
CUGAAUAAGGAAGAGCUGCCCUCAGCGUGGCCGGGCAACAUCUAAUCGGCUGAAAGCUUGGAUCGAAUGAAAAGGCAGAGGAAAGGUGAAUUUUCUUUUUAUCCUGGAGCUGGACACCCUGUUUCUCCUGCCUGUGGACAUCAGAAUUCUAGGCUCUGUGGCAUUUCAACUGUAAAACUUGCACUAGUAGCCAGCUGGUUUCUCAAGUCGUUGGCUUCAAAACUGAGAAGUACAGCAUUCUCUUCCCAGGUUCUGAAGACCUCAAAUGGACUGAGCCACACUACCAGCAUCCAGCAUCCAUGGUUCUCCAGUCUGCAGAUGGCCUAUUAUGGGACUUUUCAGUCUUCAUAAUUAUAUGAGAGAAAGAAAAUGAAAAGGAUUUGUAAACUAUAAAUCUCUAAACAGAUGGGAGGAAAGGAAUUGAUGAAACAAUAAAUUUAUUGAUGAAACAAUAAAAAUAAACAUAAAGAACCAAAGUUAUUCUCACAAUCACCACUCCUAACUUUUGAUGCUCCUGUCCAGAAAACUGAGCAAAAGAGUGGCUGAAGAAUAGGAAUGAUGAAGAGAAGAAGUAAAAACACCUGAAAGUAAAGCUUCUGUCUCCUGACUUCGUGAUCCGUCCCGCCUCAGCCUCCAAAAGU